rnacentral:rRNA from 1 species
GACGAACGCUGGCGGCGUGCUUAACACAUGCAAGUCGAACGGUAAGGCCCUUCGGGGUACACGAGUGGCGAACGGGUGAGUAACACGUGGGUGAUCUGCCCUGCACUUCGGGAUAAGCCUGGGAAACUGGGUCUAAUACCGGAUAGGACUCCUGGCUUCAUGGAUGGGGGUGGAAAGCUUUUGCGGUGUGGGAUGGGCCCGCGGCCUAUCAGCUUGUUGGUGGGGUAAUGGCCUACCAAGGCGACGACGGGUAGCCGGCCUGAGAGGGUGACCGGUCACAGUGGGACUGAGGUACGGCCCAGACUCCUACGGGAGGCAGCAGUGGGGAAUAUUGCACAAUGGGCGCAAGCCUGAUGCAGCGACGCCGCGUGAGGGAUGACGGCCUUCGGGUUGUAAACCUCUUUCAGCUAUGACGAAGCGCAAGUGACGGUAGUAGCAGAAGAAGGACCGGCCAACUACGUGCCAGCAGCCGCCGUAA